rnacentral:rRNA from 1 species
ACGCUCGACACCUACGGGGGGCAGCAGUGGGGAAUAUUGCACAAUGGGGGAAACCCUGAUGCAGCGAUGCCGCGUGAAGGAAGAAGUAUCUCGGUAUGUAAACUUCUAUCAGCAGGGAAGAAAAUGACGGUACCUGACUAAGAAGCCCCGGCUAACUACGUGCCAGCAGCCGCGAGUAUCNGAGGCGGGCGUGGACGAAGGC